GUUUCUGUAGCUUAAAUGGUAAAGCAGUUGUCUUCUAAACAACCUAUAUAAGUUCAAGUCUUGUCAGAGAUU
rnacentral:tRNA from 1 species